GCUUUCAUGGAAGCUGGACUUAACCAUUGCUUGGCAAAGCCCUUAAGCAAAGCCAAGAUCCUCCCUCUCAUCAACAAUCUCAUGGAUGCUUGAUGGAUGGAUGAAUUGUCGCCACUACAUAUCUACAUUAUAUAAAUAUGAAAAACACAUAAUAACGUCAGCUUAUACACCUGUGUGUGUAUGCAUAUAUCUAUCUGCAUGUGUGUGUUUUAGGGUUGUUAUGUUUGAUUUUUAUCGUGCGUGGCGUGAUAUACAAUCAUGUAAGUCAUUACUUUUGGCUUAUAAAAUAAUGAAUAAGAUUUCUUAUGAUCAGAUGCAUUCGAUUUCCAUUUCAAUUAACUAGAUCUACUUGGUACAUUCAAUUUGCAAUCUGCUAAAAAUCCAUACCUAUAUUUAACUGAUCCGGAUUAUAGAUUACAACCGUAGAUUUUGAGGAACGUCUUCGUAGUUUAUCUCCAUUUUUUUUUUUUCCUUUCUCUUUUUCUCUAGUUAGAUUUUAUCCAUUCCAGACAAAACUACAGAUGUAUAACUUACAGAAAAUAUCAGACAUAACUUAACUACAUCUCAAUAUCUCUUUACUUGUGGUUAUUUGUUUUCACAUGCUUUUGGUUUAAGCCUUCUAGCUUUAGAGACUAACAAGGAAUGUUAAUUAGGAUUUUUGAUAAGAGUGAAAUUCACUUGGGGAAAGUCAACUUGUUAGAAAACUAACUAGUUUGUUAUUGUAUCUCUAUCAGCGUGUUAAUUAUUACUCUUUGUGGGUUGCUAGUUGCUACAAGUUAAAUUUGAUUUCAGCUUUCCAACUCGGAUUUAUUCCCGAUUUAAACUCAGUCUAACCGUCACUCCGGUCCAAUUUAAGAACAUUGGACACAACUAAACUUCCACUCACAAGUUUCCAAAGUUCAACUCUUCUUUUCACACAGCCAGAUUGGUAUGAUCGAAUCAUGGAAUCGUAUACGUGAACCUACUCAAAUACCUCACUUUAAUACAAGAAGAAGUUCAAAAUCUUUUAAUAACCACAACCCGGUUUAGGAAACCAAUCAAAAACAUCCCGGUUUAUCUUACCUAGACCGUAAUUCAUUAAAUAGCCCAUGGGCCUUUAAAAUCAUCAUAGUUAAGCCCAUUAUAAUUUCGACAUAUAUAAACAAAAAAAAAAAAAAAAUACACAUGCAUUAGAACACUUGUAUGUUAAUUUCCAUAAUGUUUUGUUUAAACAUUCUUCGUUUUAAUUAGAUUCUUUUUGUGUGAAGAUUGUUCGAAGAAGAAAAAACCGAAGAUGGCAACAACAUCCACGGGAGAUAUCGAGAAAACGAAGUCAGUAGAAGUGAAGAAGAAACUUAACGUGUUGAUCGUCGAUGAUGAUCCUGUAAUUCGUAAACUUCACGAGAUUAUCAUCAAAUCAAUCGGUGGAAUUUCACAGACAGCUAAGAACGGUGAGGAGGCAGUGAACAUCCACCGCGACGGCAAUGCAUCUUUCGACCUUAUCCUAAUGGAUAAAGAAAUGCCCGAGAGGGAUGGACUUUCGGUACAAUUAAAUAAUAAUCUUUAAUUUAAUUUGUGUCGAUCAUCACUACACUUAUUAAGCUCCUCUUUAAAAUACUUUUUUAUGUCCUUUUGUUGGUUUUGUUUAGGCAACUAAGAAGCUAAGAGAAAUGAAAGUGACGUCUAUGAUUAUUGGGGUGACGACACUGGCUGACAAUGAAGAGGAACGUAAGGCUUUCAUGGAAGCUGGACUUAACCAUUGCUUGGCAAAGCCCUUAAGCAAAGCCAAGAUCCUCCCUCUCAUCAACAAUCUCAUGGAUGCUUGAUGGAUGGAUGAAUUGUCGCCACUACAUAUCUACAUUAUAUAAAUAUGAAAAACACAUAAUAACGUCAGCUUAUACACCUGUGUGUGUAUGCAUAUAUCUAUCUGCAUGUGUGUGUUUUAGGGUUGUUAUGUUUGAUUUUUAUCGUGCGUGGCGUGAUAUACAAUCAUGUAAGUCAUUACUUUUGGCUUAUAAAAUAAUGAAUAAGAUUUCUU
rnacentral:lncRNA from 1 species